rnacentral:rRNA from 1 species
GUGGGGAAUAUUGGACAAUGGGCGCAAGCCUGAUCCAGCCAUGCCGCGUGAGUGAUGAAGGCCUUAGGGUUGUAAAGCUCUUUUGUCCGGGACGAUAAUGACGGUACCGGAAGAAUAAGCCCCGGCUAACUUCGUGCCAGCAGCCGCGGUAAUACGAAGGGGGCUAGCGUUGCUCGGAAUCACUGGGCGUAAAGGGCGCGUAGGCGGCCAUUCAAGUCGGGGGUGAAAGCCUGUGGCUCAACCACAGAAUUGCCUUCGAUACUGUUUGGCUUGAGACCGGAAGAGGUAAGUGGAACUGCGAGUGUAGAGGUGAAAUUCGUAGAUAUUCGCAAGAACACCAGUGGCGAAGGCGGCUUACUGGUCCGGUUCUGACGCUGAGGCGCGAAAGCGUGGGGAGCAAACAGGAUUAGAAACCCCGGUAGUCC